rnacentral:tRNA from 1 species
GCGGCUGUCGUAUACCGGCAUUACCCGAGCUUCCCAAGCUCGUGAAGGGGGUUCGACUCCCCUCAGCCGCU